rnacentral:rRNA from 1 species
GUGGGGAAUAUUGGACAAUGGGCGCAAGCCUGAUCCAGCCAUGCCGCGUGAGUGAUGAAGGCCUUAGGGUUGUAAAGCUCUUUCAGUGGGGACGAUAAUGACGGUACCCACAGAAGAAGCCCCGGCUAACUUCGUGCCAGCAGCCGCGGUAAUACGAAGGGGGCUAGCGUUGUUCGGAUUUACUGGGCGUAAAGCGCACGUAGGCGGAUCGUUAAGUCGGGGGUGAAAUCCUGGAGCUCAACUCCAGAACUGCCUUCGAUACUGGCGAUCUUGAGUCCGGAAGAGGUGAGUGGAACUCCUAGUGUAGAGGUGGAAUUCGUAGAUAUUAGGAAGAACACCAGUGGCGAAGGCGACUCACUGGCCCGUUACUGACGCUGAGGCGCGAAAGCGUGGGGAGCAAACAGGAUUAGAAACCCGAGUAGUCC